CUUUCGUAGUGACCUGCGGAGGAUCAUUACCGAGUGAGGGCCCUCUGGGUCCAACCUCCCACCCGUGUCUAUCGUACCUUGUUGCUUCGGCGGGCCCGCCGUUUCGACGGCCGCCGGGGAGGCCCUGCGCCCCCGGGCCCGCGCCCGCCGAAGACCCCAACAUGAACGCUGUUCUGAAAGUAUGCAGUCUGAGUUGAUUAUCGUAAUCAGUUAAAACUUUCAACAACGGAUCUCUUGGUUCCGGCAUCGAUGAAGAACGCAGCGAAAUGCGAUAAGUAAUGUGAAUUGCAGAAUUCAGUGAAUCAUCGAGUCUUUGAACGCACAUUGCGCCCCCUGGUAUUCCGGGGGGCAUGCCUGUCCGAGCGUCAUUGCUGCCCUCAAGCACGGCUUGUGUGUUGGGCCCCCGUCCCCCUCUCCCGGGGGACGGGCCCGAAAGGCAGCGGCGGCACCGCGUCCGGUCCUCGAGCGUAUGGGGCUUUGUCACCUGCUCUGUAGGCCCGGCCGGCGCCAGCCGACACCCAACUUUAUUUUUCUAAGGUUGACCUCGGAUCAGGUAGGGAUACCCGCUGAACUUAAGCAUAUCAAA
rnacentral:rRNA from 1 species